UCCAGUUUAUCCUGCUGGAGGAUGCGGCUAUUUGGUUUGGGAUUAGACAUGCAAGUCUGACGAUAAGUCGGCGAACUGCUCAGUAACACGUAGUUAAUCUGCCCUUAGGUCAAGAAUACCCUCGGGAAACUGAGGUUAAAUCUUGAUAGGAGUUUAGUGCUGGAAUGCUUUUACUCACAAAGGUUUCGCCUAAGGAUGAGACUGCGGACGAUUAGCUAGUUGGUGGGGUAACUGCCUACCAAGGCGAUGAUCGUUACGGGCUCUUUGCGGAGUUGCCCGGAGAAGGAAUCUGAGACACUAUUCCUAGCUCUACGGAGUGCAGCAGUUACGAAUCAUUUGCAAUGCACGAAAGUGUGACAAUGUGAACCAAAGUGCCUAUUCAUUUGAAUAUGCUUUUCUUUGCUCUAAAAAUGCAGAGGAAUAAGGACUGGGCAAGACCGGUGCCAGCCGCCGCGGUAAUCCCGGCAGUUCAAGUCGCAUCCACUAUUAUUGGGUCUAAAACAUCCGUAGCUUGUAGUUUAAGUCUCUUGUGAAAUCCCACUUCUCAAGUGUGGGGCUUGCAGGAGAUACUGGACUGCUAGAGAUCGGUAGAUGUAAGGAGUACACUGGAGGUAGUGGUAAAAUACGUUAAUCUUUGGUGGACUAACAAUCAGCGAAGGCACCUUACAAGGACGAAUCUGACAGUGAGGGAUGAAGGCCAGGGGCGCAAAACGGAUUAGAUACCCGUGUAGUCCUGGCAGUAAACACUGCUCACUAAACAUUGGGCCCUCUUCGGGAGGAUUCAGUGCUGAAGCGAAGGCAAAGAGUGAGCUACCUGGGAAGUAUAGUCGCAAGAUCGAAACUUAAAGGAAUUGGCGGGGAGACAUACAACGAGUGACGCGUGCGGUUCAAUUAGAUUCUACACCGUGAACCUCACCAGGAGCGAUAGCAGAAUGAAGGUCAGUCUAAAGGGCUUACCUGACACGCUAAGCGGAGAUGCAUGGCCGACGUCAGCCUGUGCUGUGAAGUGACUUGUUAAAUCAAGUAACAGGCGAGACCCGCGUCCAUAAUUACUACAGAAAUGAGUACAUUAUGGAGACUGCCUUGGCAACAAGGAGGAAGGUGCGGGCUACGUUAGGUGAGUACGUCCCUAAUCCCCUGGGCUACACGCGCGCGGCAAUGAUAUGCUCAAUGAGAUGCGACUCCGAAAGGAGAAGCUAAUCCCCUAACGCAUAUCUCAGUUCAGAUUGAGGGUUGCAACCCACCCUCAUGACGUUGGAAUUCGUAGUAAUCGGGUAUUAGCACUGCCCGGUGAAUAAGUCCCUGUCUCUUGCACACACCGCCCGUCAAACCAACCGAGUUAUGAAGGGAUGAAGCGAUUUUUCGAAAAAUCCUUUUAUGACAAGGUAGGUUAAGUCGUCACAAGGUAUCUGUAGGGGAACCUGCAGAUG
rnacentral:rRNA from 1 species